rnacentral:rRNA from 1 species
GACCUGAUCCAGCCAUGCCGCGUGUGUGAAGAAGGCCCUAGGGUUGUAAAGGCACUUUCAGUGGGGAAGAAGGCAUGACGAUUAAUACCCGUCAUGAAGGACAUCACCCACAGAAGAAGCACCGGCUAACUCCGUGCCAGCAGCCGCGGUAAUACGGAGGGUGCAAGCGUUAAUCGGAAUUACUGGGCGUAAAGGGCGCGUAGGCGGCUUGCCAAGCCGGAUGUGAAAGCCCCGGGCUCAACCCGGGAACGGCAUUCGGAACUGGCAGGCUAGAGUGCAGGAGAGGAAGGUGGAAUUCCCGGUGUAGCGGUGAAAUGCGUAGAGAUCGGGAGGAAUACCAGUGGCGAAGGCGGCCUUCUGGACUGACACUGACGCUGAGGCGCGAAAGCGUGGGUAGCAAACAGGAUUAGAUACCCUGGUAGUCCACGCCGUAAACGAUGUCGACCAGCCGUUGGACCCCUUGAGGGUUUGGUGGCGCAGUUAACGCAAUAAGUCGACCGCCUGGGGAGUACGGCCGCAAGGCUAAAACUCAAA